rnacentral:rRNA from 1 species
UUUAACUGAGCGUUCAGACUUGACGUAGCCCCGAAACCGGGCGACCUACCCAUGAGCAGGAUGAAGCGAAAGUAAAAUUUCGUGGAGGUCCGAACCGACGAGCGGUGAAAGGCUCGGGGAUGUCUGGUGCGUAGUGGUGAAAUUCCAGUCGAGACCGGCGAUAGCGGGUUUUCCCCGAAAUAGCUUUAGGGCUAGCCUCAAGGUGA